CUGUCAUGUUCCUCAAGCCGACAGGUUCAGCUUGGUUGUGACCUCUGCUAGAAGCCCUCCCUGGCCUCCCUGUGCACUGAGCUGGUGGUUCCUCCUUUGCGCCCCAGGUACAUGCUCAGAUCUGUGUACCCUACACUUUGUCCUCCAGCUUCGUGUUUGGAUGUUCACAACUCCCAUGAGAAGGGCCCCCGAGAGCUGGCACAGUGCAUGUGUUUCCUCUCCAGACUUCUACAAACCUGG
rnacentral:lncRNA from 1 species